UUUUGCCCUGAGUCCCUGAGGAAAGAAACCAAGAGUGGUCAUCCCAUCACUUGGGGAUUGAGACUCCAUCCCCACUCUUUGCACAAGCCUAUCUUCUAUUAGGACUGUUGUGCCAACCCCCUGUCAAACUUGGUCUUCCUUGGCCUCUUGUCACUACUAUGAGACCAGUACCUUUCAUCCUCUCCUGGAUUGUCUUCUCUGUGUGCUACAAGUCCAGCCUGUCACAGACACUACCUAGGUCUCAAGAUCCAGUUUUGAUCCUUGCAGAGUACCCUUAACUGGCUGCUGACAUCAUUUCCUCACAGUGAAAGGUGUGCCCUGUGUACCAGGAUCCCUAGUGUCACCACUGGGUGACACUGUCAAGCGCCAUCUCUCUUACCCCCAGGGACUUCAUGUUAGGUGAUCAACCUCCAUGUCACUGUUGUCUGAUAAGCAGAGAAAGGACCUGCCUUGAAGAGGGAGGUCUGAGGCAGAUGGGAGUGUCCAGGUGGCUAAUAGAGGCCCAUGUAGCAGCUAGCCAUAUAAAGCACUGCGACACACAUUUUGACUUGUACCUCCUUGCAGUGUUCUGACAGCCUCCUGAGGGAAGAUCUCCUCCCUCCAGCUGCCUCAUGGACCCACCAUUCUCUCUGGUGUUGCCCUCUACUUAGACGCACCUUUGGUUGCUCCAAAACUUUUCCAGACUUUUCACCUUGUUCUGGCCUUGUGGGAUGGGGUCUCUGGACAAGGAAAGAAGGUAUCUGUGUUCAUUCUUGUUUAUACUUCCUAAACUAGCACAGGGUGGAUAGAGAUAUAAGAGGUCAGGGGGAGCUUUCCCUCAAGCAGGGGUCCCUUGUUCCUGCAGCGUGGGGGAAGGCCAGCACAGCUGACCCUGACAGCUGGCCCCGCUUAGCAGCGCUGUCCACGUUUCUCUUUCCAGCCUUCUGGUAGGCAACUCAGCACCAAAGUUUCUUUCUCCUCUUGGCCAGAGGUCAGCUGCUGUUCCUGUGGGUACAUGACUGCAGGUGGGAGCCCUACCUUGUGCUGCACUGUGAUAGCAUCUCGUCUCCUUGAGUGACUUUAUAAGCAGCCUCCUGAGCCUAAUCAGAGUGGCCCCUGGGAGAGUGGGAACAGCGGCGUCCCCUAAGUGCAAGAUACAUUCCAUUUCUGUUCUGCUGCCCUCCCUCCCCUUGGGUGCUGCAAUCUCUUUGUGCCUGAGCAGAUGGGAAAAGCAGUCUCUGAGCUCAGGACCCCGACUCUUCCUGCUCUAGUCCUGCUCUGGGUUCCUGAUAAAGGCUCACUAUCUACCUUAUUCUUUUCUUUCCCGUCUCUAACAAGGCCUGGGUUAUAGUGCUUUCCCACCGUACUUUUCUUGGUGUCAGUGUAGCCUCUGCAGUUUGCAGGUGGGUAGCCUAGUGAGGGGUAGCCUGCUUCCCUGCACCUUCUCUUCCAUGAAUCCCAGCUGCUUCUGGCCUGGAGAUUGCACCUCUUUCUCUGGCUCCAGUGAGAGCCAUGUCUUGAGCCCCAAGUGCCUCCUCCUGCUGUUUUCAUUCUUCCCUCCCUGUAGUCCCUGCUAUCUAUCACCUGCCAGCCAGCUGCAGGCUGGCCCCAGGACAUGCUUGCUGUGCUGUGGCUGGUGGGUCAGGACCCCUGUGGGCUCUGCAGUCUUCUCAGAGUCCAGCUCCCUGUCCCUCUUGGAGAUGGACAUCCUUUUCCUCUGUUACUUCCCUCUUCUGCCUCUGUCUGGGGUGCAGACUUGCCAGUAGAAGCUCUGGGGCAUCUGAUCUUGGGUGCCUCCAGGUUUGUUAAAUCUGUUCACAUUCUAGAAGUUUGCAGAACUCUUAACGUUUGUCCUUUUGGGGGUGGUGGUGAGGAUUGCCUGUUGGGAGACUAGCCUGGCCUCAGUUCUCAGUUCUGAGCGCAGGAUAGAUAGAUCAUAGUGCCUUACUUAUUCCAUUGUCUUCCCCUGUCCAGACUCAGCCAGAAGCAGGUGGCUGUCUUCUGGCUCAUUUUGUCACUUAUACUCACAGUCUCCCACCUGUAUAUAGCCACAGGAGAAGGAAACCUGAGCCCCCAGCCACCUCCUGUGGGCUAUAGCCAGACACACACCCCUCUCGCCUGCCUCCGUGGCCCUCACAGCAGCUUUAGACCAGGACCAAAUGCUGCUGCCCACAUAUGCACACUGCCUUUGUUCCUCCCUGUUCUUAGCUCUAGCCAGGACGACACUGACUGCACCAUCCAAACUGGCACCAGCUAACCCCCUCUGGUCACUGGAGACCAAGGUUCGGGCUCUAGCCUCACCUAGCUUAUGGGGCACUGGGGCAGGGAGUAAGAACUCCAGUCCCACCUUGUAGGGUUUGCCCUUUGGCUGCCUGAGGGAUGUUUUAAUGUUUACUUAAAGAAAAUACCCUGUUUACAGCUGGAGGAGAAACACGCUCACACUAGGUGAAGGUCUGACUCUGGAUAGGGCCUGGCCUCCUUUGUGGCACUGCCAGUAGUAACUGCAGUGGUGGUGAAGGCGGAGAAGCCCGGAGGGAGCAGAGGCUCUUGACUCACUCCUCUUCCUAACCCUGUGGUGCUGAGACCACUCCCUGUUUUCCUCAUAGCCUUUUUGCCUCACUAAUCCCCAUGGUGUCAUUUCCUUCCUCCAAGAUUCUCAGCUCUAACAUAUCACUAUUUUAGAAAACCAGUGUUUUGCAGCAAUAAAGUUAUAUUGUUUUGUGUGAAUCUUAUUCCAAGAAGAGGAAAAGAGCAUUGUGGGAAUCUGUUGAUGCUAUUAGCUGUUUACUGUUUGAGAAGAUAGCUCGGAGGGAUGGAUGAAUAUGGCUUUUAACCUUUAGGUAUCUUGAAGAGUGGGAAGAGCAAGAGUUUGACUGCUGUCCUCCCAGGAGGGACUGUACGGCCCUCGCCUUACUCUGAUGUGCCCCUUCCUGCCCUGCCCUGCCCACCAGGAGCUCUUCCAUCUCUCUUCCUCCCACCCCAUCUGGGGGCACUGGGGGGGCUCAACUCUAGGCAGGUCUUUGGGUUACCCCUCCCUGUGACUGGAUCUCUCUCCCUACAAGACAGCUGCUGGGAGUCUACCUCCGAAUUGGCUGAGAUUGCUGCUUCGGCCCUCCAGGCCAGCAGACUCUGGAGGCUGAGGCUUCUGCCUUCUCUGAUUCCGAGCUCAUGCACACAGGUCAGCACAGGCCUGACUUUGAGGGAAAGGAGCCUUGUCUGGACACAUGCUCUGGAAGGAGAACCCAGUAGGUACUGGCAUCUUGGCUGAUGUCGGUAUCCACAGCCAUUACUGAGGGCCAAGUCUGCUACCAUUCAUUGCCUAGGGCCCCUAGUAUUGGGGAGAGUGCCAGAACAAGUGGGCCUUCCCCCCCCCCCCCGCCUUUUAAAAUCCAGAUGAGAUCAUAGGAAAAAGGAAACCUAUUUAGGGGACUUCCCCCCCCCCCCCCCAACACUUUUACCCCAAGGGCUCCUUGCCGUCAAAACUGGAGGAUAUUUCAGUUACUCUUAAUGCUCAUGUGGGUCAAACUUGGUUUUGAAAGAGGUUUAAAGCCAGGCACAAGGUUAGUUUCAAAUACUAGUUAAUCCAAUUUUUUUCCUUUUUUUUUUUUUUUUUGCACAGAAGCUGGUAAUAUAGGACCUAUGUGUGAACUUUAUAUGAAUAUUUUUUUGUACUUGGCUUACUUGGGUUGUUAUGAUAACAUAUUUAAGUUCCUUGAACACUGUGGAUUCCCCCUAAUGUGUAUGAAUGACUGAAACGUUGUAAAUUAAGGGACGUUUGUGUGAAUAAAGUUAUUUGAUGGGGUCAAAAAGCC
rnacentral:lncRNA from 1 species